ensembl:ncRNA lncRNA:CR45224 long non-coding RNA:CR45224
CACAACAAAUUUCAAUUCAAUUUUACUUUCAAUUGCAGUUAAUUGCUCGCCCGCAAGCUAGAAAAGGAAAAUGAAAUGGAAAACAAAAUUUAAACUCCAGCACGGACAAUUUAUGAGUGCGGCAGAAAAUUGUACUUUUCCUUUUGGCACACUUUAACACACAAUGGUGGCGUCUCCUCACCGGCUCACCUGCUGAACGCAGUUAACCCCAAUUACGGGCACAAAGACCAAGACCCGGCCCAGACAACCAGACAGACAGACAGCCAGCCAACUAGUAGCUCUGGCAGUAGUUAAAAUAUUUAAGCCACAACACGGCGUGGAGAAAAAUUUGUCCGAGACGAAGACGUCCAGCAACUGGUUGCUCUUUGGCUUAAUUAAAAGCUGCAGCAAAGCCCCGGAUUGUUCCACGGAUUCGGAUUCGGACUGGAAUUGAAUCGCAUCGAAUCGAAUUGGAUCGGAUCGGAUCGGACGGGAUGCGUUGCAAUGUGAUGCGAUGCGAGGCAGUGUGUUGCGUUGUGUUGUGUUAUGCUGUGUUGUUGCCUUUUAUUUGCUUUUCAUGCUGCGGUCGCUGAAAUGACACUACAAUGUCUUCGAAAUGAAAAUAAAUACGCUCGAGUCGGGACCUGAGUGAAGACCGCGACAACAUGAGGCAGCAACAUUGGCAACAACACGGUCCGCAGCUCCACAGGUCCACCACCGUCGACAGUCCGACCUGGCUACAUGUUACACAUUAAACCACAUCGGUAUUGUGCCCACCGAGCUGCCCGAUUAAAGGUGUAUCCACACACACUUGAGGUCGCCGAAAUAGUAAUUAUGUUGAAUAAUCAUU